rnacentral:rRNA from 1 species
UUCCGGUUGAUCCUGCCGGACCUGACUGCUAUCGGAUUGAUACUAAGCCAUGCGAGUCUUUGUAGUAAUACAAGGCAGACGGCUCAGUAACACGUAGUCAACCUACCCUAUGGACAAGAAUAAUCUCGGGAAACUGGGCAUAAUUCUUGAUAGAUCAUAAUGCCUGGAAUGGUUUAUGGUUAAAAUGAUUCGUCGCCAUAGGAUGGGACUGCGGCCUAUCAGCUUGUUGGUGAGGUAAUGGCCCACCAAGGCGAUUACAGGUACGGGCUCUGAGAGGAGAAGCCCGGAGAUGGGUACUGAGACACGGACCCAGGCCCUAUGGGGCGCAGCAGGCGAGAAAACUUUGCAAUGUGCGAAAGCACGACAAGGUUAAUCCGAGUGAUUUCUGCUAAGGAAAUCUUUUGUUAGUCCUAGAAACACUAACGAAUAAGGGGUGGGCAAGUUCUGGUGUCAGCCGCCGCGGUAAAACCAGCACCUCAAGUGGUCAGGAUGAUUAUUGGGCCUAAAGCAUCCGUAGCCGGCUCUGUAAGUUUUCGGUUAAAUCCAUGUGCUCAACGCAUGGGCUGUCGAAAAUACUGCAUAGCUAGGGAGUGGGAGAGGUAGACGGUACUCGGUAGGAAGGGGUAAAAUCCUUUGAUCUAUCGAUGACCACCUGUGGCGAAGGCGGUCUACCAGAACACGUUCGACGGUGAGGGAUGAAAGCUGGGGGAGCAAACCGGAUUAGAUACCCGGGUAGUCCCAGCUGUAAACGAUGCAGACUCGAUGAUGCAUUGGCAUAUAGCCAGUGCAGUGUCGCAGGGAAGCCGUUAAGUCUGCCGCCUGGGAAGUACGUACGCAAG